UACAGAGGGGGCAAGCGUUAUUCGGAAUUAUUGGGCGUAAAGGGCUCGUAGGCGGUUUGUCGCGUCGGGAGUGAAAACCCAGGGCUUAACCCUGGGCCUGCUUCCGAUACGGGCAGACUAGAGGUAUGCAGGGGGAGAACGGAAUUCCUGGUGUAGCGGUGAAAUGCGCAGAUAUCAGGAGGAACACCGGUGGCGAAGGCGGUUCUCUGGGCAUUACCUGACGCUGAGGAGCGAAAGUGUGGGGAGCGAACAGG
rnacentral:rRNA from 1 species